AUUCUCACCUGGCAAGGGAGGUACCGUGAAGGUGACGGUGUUUUUCCCAGAGUGAGGCUCAUCCGCUCGCUGCACUCCAAUGUGCAGACCCCUAUGACGUCCCCAAGUGUGGGACACUGGACUGCGUGAUCUGUGGUGGUGGGGGACUGCGUCUGUGCUUUCCACUA
rnacentral:snRNA from 1 species